CCUACGGGGGGCAGCAGUGGGGAAUAUUGGACAAUGGGGGGAACCCUGAUCCAGCCAUGCCGCGUGUGUGAAGAAGGCCCUCGGGUUGUAAAGCACUUUCAGUGAGGAAGAACGCCUGGUGGUUAGUACCCAUCAGGAAAGACAUCACUCACAGAAGAAGCACCGGCUAACUCCGUGCCAGCAGCCGCGGUAAUACGGAGGGUGCGAGCGUUAAUCGGAAUUACUGGGCGUAAAGCGCGCGUAGGUGGCUUGAUAAGCCGGUUGUGAAAGCCCCGGGCUCAACCUGGGAACGGCAUCCGGAACUGUCAAGCUAGAGUGCAGGAGAGGAAGGUAGAAUUCCCGGUGUAGCGGUGAAAUGCGUAGAGAUCGGGAGGAAUACCAGUGGCGAAGGCGGCCUUCUGGACUGACACUGACACUGAGGUGCGAAAGCGUGGGUAGCAAACAGGAUUAGAUACCCGAGUAGUC
rnacentral:rRNA from 1 species